rnacentral:rRNA from 1 species
AGUGAACGCUGGCGGUAGGCCUAACACAUGCAAGUCGAACGGCAGCACAGUAAGAGCUUGCUCUUACGGGUGGCGAGUGGCGGACGGGUGAGGAAUACAUCGGAAUCUACUUUUUCGUGGGGGAUAACGUAGGGAAACUUACGCUAAUACCGCAUACGACCUACGGGUGAAAGCAGGGGAUCUUCGGACCUUGCGCGAUUGAAUGAGCCGAUGUCGGAUUAGCUAGUUGGCGGGGUAAAGGCCCACCAAGGCGACGAUCCGUAGCUGGUCUGAGAGGAUGAUCAGCCACACUGGAACUGUGACACGGUCCAGACUCCUACGGGAGGCAGCAGUGGGGAAUAUUGGACAAUGGGCGCAAGCCUGAUCCAGCCAUACCGCGUGGGUGAAGAAGGCCUUCGGGUUGUAAAGACCUUUUGUUGGGAAAGAAAAGCAGCAGGUUAAUACCCCGCUGUUCUGACGGUACCCAAAGAAUAAGCACCGGCUAACUUCGUG